rnacentral:rRNA from 1 species
UACGUAGGGUGCGAGCGUUAAUCGGAAUUACUGGGCGUAAAGCGUGCGUAGACGGUUAUUUAAGUCGGGUGUGAAAGCCCCGGGCUCAACCUGGGAAUUGCAUUCGAGACUGAAUAGCUAGGGUACGGUAGAGGGAAGUGGAAUUUCCGGUGUAGCGGUGAAAUGCGUAGAUAUCGGAAGGAACAUCAGUGGCGAAAGCGACUUCCUGGACCAGUACCGACGUUCAGGCACGAAAGCGUGGGGAGCAAACAGGA